CAGCCGCCGCGGGAAUACGUAGGGUGCAAGCGUUAAUCGGAAUUACCGGGCGUAAAGCGUGCGCAGGCGGUUAUAUAAGUCAGAUGUGAAAUCCCCGGGCUCAACCUGGGAACUGCAUUUGAGACUGUAUGGCUAGAGUGUGUCAGAGGGGGGUAGAAUUCCACGUGCAGCAGUGAAAUGCGUAGAUAUGUGGAGGAAUACCGAUGGCGAAGGCAGCCCCCUGGGAUAACACUGACGCUCAUGCACGAAAGCGUGGGGAGCAAACAGGAUUAGAUACCCGUGUAGUCCCUGUCUCUUAUAC
rnacentral:rRNA from 1 species